rnacentral:rRNA from 1 species
AAGAGUUUGAUCCUGGCUCAGGAUGAACGCUGGCGGCGUGCCUAACACAUGCAAGUCGAGCGUGAACCCUGCGAAUGAAACUUCGGUCGAUUUUGCAGGAGGAAAGCGGCGGACGGGUGAGUAACGCGUAGGUAACCUGCCCCAUACUGAGGGAUAGCCUCGGGAAACCGGGAUUAAUACCUCAUAACACCGUUUGUUCGCAUGGACGAACGGUCAAAGAUUUACCGGUAUGGGAUGGGCCUGCGUCUGAUUAGCUGGUUGGUGGGGUAACGGCCUACCAAGGCGACGAUCAGUAGCCGACCUGAGAGGGUGAUCGGCCACAUUGGAACUGA